AUUCCAUGAUGAGGGCACUUUCAUAAUAAUUCUUUGUACCUUUCUCAUGCCUCAUACAAGGACUCAUCAUCCAUUUGUUUGAAAGCUUUCCUCAACUUCUUGCU
rfam:Gossypium raimondii chromosome 7, whole genome shotgun sequence.